UUGUUGGGUAAGUAAAUUACUUUGGUGAUCUUUCUGAUUAAUUUGAUGAAUCUUGAGGCAGGGUAAAUCAGUUAACUCACAUGAAUCUCAAGACGGUUGUCCCUGCUAGCUUUAAUUUCCUUUUUUACCUUUUAGUAGCAUAUUUGUUUUGUUUCAUUAGUGCUUAUUUUUCGAAUCUUUGGUUGUUUGAUCUGAUGUAUUCCUCGUUGAUACGAUAGUUAGGCAUAAAGACAUAUGGAUGAUAGUUGUUUGUUUGGCCGUAAGGGUAGGGGCUCGAAGGAACAGAAUUGAAAUUGGAGA
rnacentral:lncRNA from 1 species